rnacentral:rRNA from 1 species
UACGGGGGAGCAAGCGUUGUUCGGAUUUACUGGGCGUAAAGGGCGCGUAGGCGGUCAGCACAAGUCAGUUGUGAAAUCUCCGGGCUUAACUCGGAAAGGUCAACUGAUACUGUGCGACUAGAGUGCGGAAGGGCAACUGGAAUUCUCGGUGUAGCGGUGAAAUGCGUAGAUAUCGAGAGGAACACCUGCGGCGAAGGCGGGUUGCUGGGCCGACACUGACGCUGAUGCGCGAAAGCCAGGGAGCGAACGGG